rnacentral:siRNA from 1 species
UGGAUGGUCUCUUCCUCAUACC